AGUGGCGAGCUUAACCAAAUAGGGGAGGCGUAGCGAAAGCGAGUCUUAAUAGGGCGCAUGAGUUAGAUGGAUCAGACCCGAAACCGAGUGAUCUAGGCAUGAUCAGGAUGAAGGUAAGGUAACACUUACUGGAGGUCCGAACCCACACCUGUUGAAAAAGGUCGGGAUGAAUUGUGCCUAGGGGUGAAAGGCCAAUCAAACUCGGAGAUAGCUGGUUCUCCGCGAAAUCUAUUUAGGUAGAGCGUCAUCCGAAUACCCCGGGGGGUAGAGCACUGGAUGGGUAAUGGGGCCCCACAGGCUUACUGAUCCUAACCAAACUCCGAAUACCCGGGAGUACUAGAUGGCAGACACACGGCGGAUGCUAACGUCCGUCGUGGAGAGGGAAACAACCCUGACCUCCAGCUAAGGCCCCUAAUUCAUGGCUAAGUGGGAAAGCAGGUGGGACGACCAAAACAACCAGGAGGUUGGCUUAGAAGCAGCCA
rnacentral:rRNA from 1 species